rnacentral:rRNA from 1 species
GCAGCAGCCGCGGGAAUACGGAGGGUGCAAGCGUUAAUCGGAAUUACUGGGCGUAAAGCGUGCGUAGGCGGUUCGUUAAGUCUGUUGUGAAAGCCCCGAGCUCAACCUGGGAAUGGCAAUGGAUACUGGCGAGCUAGAGUGUGUCAGAGGAUGGUGGAAUUCCCGGUGUAGCGGUGAAAUGCGUAGAGAUCGGGAGGAACAUCAGUGGCGAAGGCGGCCAUCUGGGACAACACUGACGCUGAGGCACGAAAGCGUGGGGAGCAAACAGGAUUAGAUACCCCAGUAGUCCCUGUCUCUUAUAC